rnacentral:rRNA from 2 species
UAAAACCAGCACCUCAAGUUGUCAGGAGGAUUAUUGGGCCUAAAGCAUCCGUAGCCGGCUCUGUUAGUUUUCGGUUAAAUCCAUAUGCUCAACGUAUGGGCUGUCGGAAAUACUACAGAGCUAGGGAAUGGGAGAGGUAGACGGUACUCGGUAGGAAGGGGUAAAAUCCUUUGAUCUAUUGAUGACCACCUGUGGCGAAGGCGGUCUACCAGAACAUGUUCGACGGUGAGGGAUGAAAGCUGGGGGAGCAAACCGGAUUAGAUACCCGGGUAGUCCCAGCUGUAAACGAUGCAGACUAGAUGAUGCAUUAGCAUAUAGCUAGUGCAGUGUCUCAGGGAAGCCGUUAAGUCUGCCGCCUGGGAAGUACGUACGCAAGUAUG